AGCUUUGCACAGAGGCAGUAUCGUAGCCAAUGAGGUUUAUCCGAGGCGCUAUUACUGCUAAUUGAAACGUGUUUCCAAACUUGUUAAUUUUGUAUAGUAUGAGGUAAAAACUAGAUUUCACUACUUAGGAAUGAAUUGUUAGUC